AAGGACGAGAUGAAUUAGUAUUAAAAAUGUCCCUGUGUCUCGAUACAAAUGCGACGGCGGGCGGUGAAUCAGCUGCUUUGCAUUCAAUAAGGGAACGUAUGCGCGCAAGCGAUAUUACUUUUUUUUCUCUCUUCUCUUUGCGAUUCCUUUGUGAUCGCGCGAGUCUACCCUCUGGGGAAGACGACAUUGCAACGCUGUUGUCCGUUCGCGGACACCUUCCUUUUAUCGAGUUUUACUCUUCAAUUUUCAUUCUCGACAGUCGUACACAGUCUUGAGAAACGUGAUAUCGUUCAGAAGAUAAGGCAUUAACUCCGUUCUUUCUCCGUUAGUAUCUAAUUGUUUCUAUAUGAAAUUUAAUUUCAGAAUUUAACACCAAAAUUUUCCAUAAAAAUUUGGAAAGUUGGGAAGAAGAAACGAAUGAACGCGUAACGAAUCGCGCGCGCGCGCGCUACCUAAUGGCUCGAUUGUUUGUUAAAACGCUUUCAUUUCUACAGGGGUAAUCUCGUGCACACAUGCGUAUCUAUCUUCUGCAUUCAUAAUUUUAUAAGUGAUUUCUUCUUAUAGAGCAGUACUGAUCAACUAAAUGAUCAAAAUAUAAAAAAAUCUAUUUAAAUUUUUGUCUCCUUGCUAUUAAGAAAAGAUUUUUAACGAGAGAGGAUGCUUGGCUAACAGAUUAGCCGCGCGGAAAAGCGCGUAUCCGUCUAAUCAGCGAUUUGCUCCCUUUUGUGCCGUGAAAUCACGUCGUGAAAUCGCGGGAUCGUUAUUAAAUCGGAUGCAUCCCGGCGAAUCGACGAAAGCGCACAGCACGCGCAGUCACUCUCGCUCAGGAUCGGUGCUGUGCAAUUACGCGCUGUUUAUUUAUCGAGUUUAAACGAUCCCUUUUACGACGCAUUUAAGUCCUCGUUCAUCGCCGUAUUUAUUUAAUUUACCAUCCGCAAACUGUCAUACUGGAGCACCCUGUCGCGUCUCUUUGAUACGUAUAUUGAGGCAAUCGCUUGCCGAUCGUUUCGAAUCCGACCCUGUUCUCACUCUAGCAAUGCUUUCGAUUUCGCGUCUAACUAAUCGCAUCUGCUGCCACUCCAUACCACGUACGAUCAUUUAACAGUCUUCACGUCAAUGCUAGCUAGAGACGUGAUAUUCAAUAACGAAGUGAACUAUAUAUACAUAUGCAUAUAGUUAUCCCUAUGCAACGAAAUGUGUCCGUAGUUACCGUACACUCGUGGCAAAUUACUGGCUGAAAAUAGAGCAUUAAUUUGGAAAGCUUUGUUGAAAUAUGAAAGAAAGAGAAGCCGUGGUUAAGACAUUCCCGCAGCGAGAGAUCUCGAUCGUAUAAAUUCGAAAUUUAGCUCCUUUAAAGCGAGCUCUAACCGCGCGCGCUCUUCUCUGGCGUCUGGCCAGAAUAAGGUAAUUUAACGCUCGCAGAGGCGCUUUUGUUGAACGCACUAAUUAUCAUGCAAAUUGAGAAUAGUAUUAUUCGUUAAUCAUGAAUUUAUUCAAAUAUGUAAAAGAGAGAGACACACUAGAUAAAUAUUAAUUAAAUUAAUUAAUUUUUAUAAAAUAAAAAUUGUUUAAAAAGCAUUUAAAGCAAUAAGAAGCUUAAUUUACGAGCAUCAUCGUACAAGAUUAGAGAAGUUUAUAUUUUGUAGUGAAACCUUUGACUCGCUAUAUACAUAGGCACAACGUGCAUGUCGAAUCUUAAUGUAACACGUGCAUCGUUGCACGAAAAGACUUUUAUAUGAUGAAAUUUGUAAACAGAGUCUUUAAUGCUCAUAAAGGAGUUUAAUACUUGUGUAGUAAAAUUGCCGUCAUAAAUAUUUCAUUUUAUUUCGAUAAAAAAUAUUUUAGUGUAAUUAAUUUUCUCACGCACGUGAAAUCUACAAACACUAACCUAUUCGCUGUUGUCGAGCUUCUCACGGAUGCAUGUUAGAUAUCGCGCAUGUGCUCCAACUGUUCACUCUUCGCACUACAAGAUGUUUUUGCAACGGAAAUAAACUUUAUAAAUCUAUGCAAAAAGAUGAAAAUGCAAGUGCAAAGUGUUUUUUCCUUUCACAAUAUGCGCGCGAUUGUUUCUUCUUCUUGGUGUUGCCGCAACCGUUUCACGUCAUUGCUUCGCUAUUUGCAUAGCAGCUUCAGUCGUUCUUUCUUCCGUUUUCCCGAGGGCCGCGUGAGUUUGCGCGCACGGCUACGGCAGAGGAUGCAACUCGGGGAUCGUUGGUAAACUAAACUGAAGUUUCAGAUGACAGAGGAGCAGCCGUAAUCUUCGAAUGCCCCACUAUUUCCGCGCCACGAUGUUUCGUCAGGGACGAAUCGCAUCAGGCAGUUUAGGAUCUUAUUAUUGCCAAUAUAAAAUAGGUGCUGUAAAUCCAAUUUUAUCCUUGUAUCUAUUUAGUGCGUCAAUUGAACCUAUAUAUUACUAUAUAUUACCUGUAUACAAUGUAUUUCAUAAUUAUUUAACGUUUUGUUAAUGUAGUGAAAAUUAGCUAUAAGCUAUUUGUAUUUAAUAUUAAUGAUAAUUACUAACUGUCG